rnacentral:rRNA from 1 species
GACGAACGCUGGCGGCGUGCUUAACACAUGCAAGUCGAACGGAAAGGCCCUGCUUGCAGGGUACUCGAGUGGCGAACGGGUGAGUAACACGUGGGUUAUCUGCCCUGCACUUCGGGAUAAGCCUGGGAAACUGGGUCUAAUACCGGAUAGGAGCCAUUUUGAGUGUGGUGGUUGGAAAGUUUUUUCGGUUUGGUCUUAGCUCGGGGCCUAUCUGAGUGUUGGUGGGGUAAUGGCCUACAAAGGCGGCGGCGGGUAGCCGGCGCUGGUGUGUGGACAGGCACAUUGACACUGGGACUCGGCCCAGACUCCGACUCGUGCGAGAGGUGGCGAUGAUUGCUCAAUGGCCGUAAGCCUGAUGCUGCUCCGCCGCUGGCGCGAGGACGGCCUUCGGGUUGUAAAUGUCUUUCUCUAUUGACGAAGCUUUUUGUGACGGUACCUAGAUAAGAAGCUCCGGCUAACUCCGUG